rnacentral:lncRNA from 1 species
AACACCCUUGCCCCGCCCGCUUAGAAAGUUCAGCCUUACUCUAUAACCAGAUUUUUUCCCCUUAGGUGUAUACAUAAGCAGAUGUUUAGAGGAAUACGUGUAAACAGUAUCCAUAAAGUUGGAAGUUAUCAGAGCAUUUAAUCUUUGUUGCCUAAGCUACCAGAAUUGCAGCAGUGAUUUUUUACAUUGAAGUUCACAAGCAGUGUGAUGUUACCUUGGCUUUUACAAGUUGGAACAUUUUCUACCCAUCUAUGAACAGGCUCCCCCUUCCUCUCCAGGAAAGUCCUAGCUGA